rnacentral:rRNA from 1 species
GAACUGAAGAGUUUGAUCCUGGCUCAGAUUGAACGCUGGCGGCAUGCCUUACACAUGCAAGUCGAACGGCAGCACGGGGGCAACCUUGGUGGCGAGUGGCGAACGGGUGAGUAAUACAUCGGAACGUGUCCUGUAGUGGGGGAUAGCCCGGCGAAAGCCGGAUUAAUACCGCAUACGCUCU